rnacentral:lncRNA from 1 species
UCAAAGAAUAUUUUUGUAGAGAAAAAAGAUCGUUGAAAGACUCUGAAUACAAUUAAAGAUUAAUAAAGCCAAGAGAAAUUAAUUUUGAAGAGCAUCAGCAUAAGAAAAAUCAUCUCAAAGAAUUCGAGCCGAUCCAUCCAAAAAUCGAGCUGACUCUAGCAUGGUAUGCACCUGCUAUUUUGGUUUGGCAUGCAACCGAACCAAUUUAAAAUGGAUCCGAGCCGGCUCUCUCAUAGUGACAAAAAAAGAGUUUUUGAGUUUUGCAAGUCGAGCC